rnacentral:rRNA from 1 species
GUCGCAUGUCUAGUAUAGCAUUAUACCGCGAAACUGCGAAUGGCUCAUUAUAUAAGUUAUCGUUUAUUUGAUAAUACUUUACUACUUGGAUAACCGUGGUAAUUCUAGAGCUAAUACAUGCUGAAAAUCCCGACUUCGGAAGGGAUGUAUUUAUUAGAUUAAAAACCAAUGCCCCUCGGGGCUCUCUGGUGAAUCAUGAUAACUAGUCGAAUCGACAGGCCUUGUGCCGGCGAUGGCUCAUUCAAAUUUCUUCCCUAUCAACUUUCGAUGUUUGGGUAUUGGCCAAACAUGGUGGCAACGGGUAACGGAGGGUUAGGGCUCGACCCCGGAGAAGGAGCCUGAGAAACGGCUACUACAUCCAAGGAAGGCAGCAGGCGCGCAAAUUACCCAAUCCCGACACGGGGAGGUAGUGACAAUAAAUACUGAUACAGGGCUCUUUUGGGUCUUGUAAUCGGAAUGAGUACAAUUUAAAUCCCUUAACGAGGAACAAUUGGAGGGCAAGUCUGGUGCCAGCAGCCGCGGUAAUUCCAGCUCCAAUAGCGUAUAUUAAAGUUGUUGUGGUUAAAAAGCUCGUAGUUGAACCUUGGGCCUGGCUGGCCGGUCCGCCUCACCGCGUGCACUGGUCCGGCCGGGCCUUUCCCUCUGCGGAACCCCAUGCCCUUCACUGGGUGUGGCGGGGAAACAGGACUUUUACUUUGAAAAAAUUAGAGUGCUCAAGGCAGGCCUAUGCUCGAAUACAUUAGCAUGGAAUAAUAGAAUAGGACGUGUGGUUCUAUUUUGUUGGUUUCUAGGACCGCCGUAAUGAUUAAUAGGGACAGUCGGGGGCAUCAGUAUUCAAUUGUCAGAAGUGAAAUUCUUGGAUUUAUUGAAGACUAACUACUGCGAAAGCAUUGGCCAAGGAUGUUUUCAUUAAUCAGGAACGAAAGUUAGGGGAUCGAAGACGAUCAGAUACCGUCGUAGUCUUAACCAUAAACUAUGCCGACUAGGGAUCGGACGAUGUUACAUUUUUGACGCGUUCGGCACCUUACGAGAAAUCAAAGUGCUUGGGCUCCCGGGGGAGAAUGGUCCCAA